rnacentral:rRNA from 1 species
UGGGGAAUAUUGCACAAUGGGCGCAAGCCUGAUGCAGCAACGCCGCGUGAACGAUGAAGGUCUUCGGAUCGUAAAGUUCUGUUGCAGGGGAAGAUAAUGACGGUACCCUGUGAGGAAGCCCCGGCUAACUACGUGCCAGCAGCCGCGGUAAUACGUAGGGCGCAAGCGUUAUCCGGAAUUAUUGGGCGUAAAGAGCUUGUAGGCGGUUCGUCGCGUCUGGUGUGAAAGCCCAUCGCUUAACGGUGGGUUUGCGCCGGGUACGGGCGGGCUAGAGUGCAGUAGGGGAGACUGGAAUUCCCGGUGUAACGGUGGAAUGUGUAGAUAUCGGGAAGAACACCAAUGGCGAAGGCAGGUCUCUGGGCUGUUACUGACGCUGAGAAGCGAAAGCGUGGGGAGCGAACAGG